AUACGGAGGGUGCAAGCGUUAAUCGGAAUUACUGGGCGUAAAGCGUACGUAGGCGGUUCGUUAAGUUAGAUGUGAAAGCCCCGGGCUUAACCUGGGAACUGCAUUUAAAACUGGCGAACUUGAGUUGAGUAGAGGGGAGUGGAAUUUCAGGUGUAGCGGUGAAAUGCGUAGAGAUCUGAAGGAACACCAGUGGCGAAGGCGGCUCCCUGGACUCAAACUGACGCUGAGGUACGAAAGCGUGGGUAGCAAACGGGAUUAGAAACCCCAGUAGUCC
rnacentral:rRNA from 1 species